GACGAACGCUGGCGGCGUGCCUAAUACAUGCAAGUUGAGCGCUGAAGGUUGGUACUUGUACCGACUGGAUGAGCAGCGAACGGGUGAGUAACGCGUGGGGAAUCUGCCUUUGAGCGGGGGACAACAUUUGGAAACGAAUGCUAAUACCGCAUAAAAACUUUAAACACAAGUUUUAAGUUUGAAAGAUGCAAUUGCAUCACUCAAAGAUGAUUCCGCGUUGUAUUAGCUAGUUGGUGAGGUAAAGGCUCACCAAGGCGAUGAUACAUAGCCGACCUGAGAGGGUGAUCGGCCACAUUGGGACUGAGACACGGCCCAAACUCCUACGGGAGGCAGCAGUAGGGAAUCUUCGGCAAUGGACGAAAGUCUGACCGAGCAACGCCGCGGGAGUGAAGAAGGUUUUCGGAUCGUAAAACUCUGUUGGUAGAGAAGAACGUUGGUGAGAGUGGAAAGCUCAUCAAGUGACGGUAACUACCCAGAAAGGGACGGCUAACUACGUG
rnacentral:rRNA from 1 species